GGUCUAGCUGCCGCAAGAAGAGGAAACCAUAGAGCAAAGUGAUGACAGGAAACUGUGAUAUAUCACAAAGCUGAUGGCUUUAGGAAAGACCAGAUGAGAACCAGACCCCAGGGAGGCCCCUGGAAUGAGCCCGUGGCAGGGGGCCAGCCGUGAACACAAGCAGUCUUGGUGGAUGUGAACCUCCAGUGACCACACACAAUCUUUCUGUGUGGGCACAGCUGAAGCCUGAUGCCCUUAAAAGUCCAGAAGUCCUUUAUCCCAAAGUGAAAAAGCAAACGUUACCCAGUAGGCAAACAAUGCUGAGAGCUCGCUUCCUCCAACUCCAUAGCUAAGCUACUCACUCCGGAUAACAUCACUCCGCGGCCAAGCCCUGAGUCAGGAAGUAGUUUAUUUUCACUGAAAUUGAGGGGGAAGUUAAAGAGAAAAACAGCUGCAAUUUGGUCAGUUCGGGAAAACCAGUGCUCAUCGAGACAGGGAUUUGAAGAACUCCUGCCUCAGAAAUGUGACUUAAUCUUUUCCUCUUACUGCCAUCUCCUUAAAACCUAAUGAAGUGAGGAGAUGGAGGACAUCGCGAUAAUAACAACUCAAGUAAUUUUUAGGACUCCACGGGACUUGGGAUCACCGGCACGUACAAUGUCAAGUUCCAGACUGACCCCAAGUUGGAGCAAUGAGUGGGAUUCCCCAGUCACCGUCCUGAACCAGUGGUCACUCGGAUCUGGGGAAAAGGCAGAGCCAUGCAUGGUGGAAGCACCACGAACAGAGACUGUCAUCUCGUGGGAACAGGGCUGCCUCUUCAUCCCUGAGGAUUUGGCUGGGGCUGCAAAUCCAGGACGAAGUAAUGAUUGGCAAGGCCCCGCCCCCCCUCAGCUCCCAGUGACACCGGCCUUCGUUCUUUCGUGGGGUUCUCAGAGUUCACCUUUUCCAAUCUUAAAGUUGAAUCCAGGGGCACGAACAAGUGGAGUCAACUAGAGAAGUAAAGAUCUCUUCCCUUCCCUUCCCGUCCCUCCCCUCCCCUCCCCUCCCUUCCCUGCCCUUUUUCCCCUCUCUCCUCUCCGGCCACCUCAGCCAGUGUCCCUUGUCAACCCCCCCCACGUCUCCUUGUCCUUCUCUUUCUUCUUCUUUUUUCCUCUCUCUCUUUCUGAGCAUCUUUCCUUCCCAUUUCCUUAUUCAAACACACUCACAUACUUAAAACGCCCUGUAUCCUCAGUCAGCUUAUGGUUAACUUUAUUAAAAUAAUACCAAAGCACUUGUAACCAUGGAACUGAUGUGCCCAGCAUUGGGUUUUUCCAUACAUUAUUCCAACAUUCAAUUACUG
rnacentral:lncRNA from 1 species